AUCCUGGAAGAAAAGAGCUUACUUGGCAACAGCAAGCAGAUGAGCAGAAGAAAAAAACACUUAACAAAGGCUGAGAGCAAGUGAAACAAUAUAAAAAACGUUUUGAGAUCUGAAAGCGUUAAAUACUUGUUUUUUAAUUAAUUUUUUUUUUAUUUUUGAGAUCAAUGUGGAUUCAUAUACAGUUGUAAGAAAUAAUACAGAGUGUUCCCAGGUGCCCUUUACCAUUUUUCCCAGUGGUAACAUCUUGCAAAACAAUAUUACAUGCAGCAUGUUGACAUUCAAACAGUCAAGAUCCAGAACAUUUCAACGGCCCAAGGAUUCCUCAGAUUGCCCUUUUAGAACCACAUCCACUUCCUUCCUACCCACGUUCCCUCCUUAACCACUGGCAACCACUAAUCUAUUCCCCAUUUCUAUAGUUCUACCGUUUCAAGCAUGUUCUAUAAAUGGAAGCAUAUAGUAUAUAGCCUUUGGGAAUUUUUUUUCACUCCAAAAUUCACUGCAAAUUCAUGCAGAUCCUUCCAGGUAUCAGUAGUUGAUUCCCUUUUAUUGCUGAGUCAUUGUAUAGAUGGUUCAUCAUUCACUCCUUGAAGGGCAUCUGGGUUUUUUCUGGGUUUUGGCUAUCAUGAAUAAAGUUGGUGUGAACAUUCACAUACAGUCGAAGGAGAGAAAAAAUAAUUUUCCCUCUAGUCUUUUCAGUUCUUGGCUGAGACCCUCCCACCACCGUUAUAUAAGACAGACUGACAGAAGUAAAAGAAACAGAAGUUUGAUAACAUAUAUACCUCUUGCGUACAUGGGAGAGACCCGGGAAAACUGUGUCACUACCACGUAUACAGAAGACGUUUAUGUUUGUUCGUUUCCACCUGGCACGGCUCUGUCCUGGGUCGGCUCUCUAAAGCUGGCCUCGCGGGCACACUCAACUCCGCGGUGCUGGGAAGGGACGGGACAAAUACUCCGAGCGCGGCAGAGCGCCCUUGGGCUCCGAGGGGGCUCCCGGGGAGAGAACCGGCCGCCAGAAAAUGACUCUGGGAACCAGGAUUGAGCGGCCUGAGCACAGGAGAUGGUCAGAAGCCACGGCCGCUUCCUGCCCUGGCCUCUUCCUUUGCAGGUGGGUUGAGUAGAAGUAGUCACGUGGCUUCACCUCGCUGCCAGGCUUCCGGGACCCACAAAGGAGGUGAAGUGUUUAGGGAACACCAUCCCAGGCGCCGAAUGCAAAUGCAAGACGUCUUUGUCCUCAAGGAACUCGGAGUCCAUAAUAAGUCGUCUUUACAGAGUCAUAGAGUCACGAUACCUUUGUUGUACUGUCGCUUGCCCAAACUUACAGCUGGUAGAGACAAGCGUCCCUAGGUUAUGUCAUCUCGCCCUUGGGUCUCACGCUCUAUCACAGUUGAACUGGACGCACGCUAUUAUGCCAACCAAAUGGGCCAUAUUUGGCCACAAAAUGUAAUGCCACGGUUGCUCUUGAUGAGACCAUGUUCCCAGCCUGAGAACAAAUCUUUCUAAGUUCACUGUUAAAGGCUGAACGGACUCAAAUACAAACGAGCCGACUCAGGUAAAAGGUAAAUGUCUGUCUUGGGGAAUGGGUAAGGGUAGGGUAGUGAAAAAGGCAAGGAGUAAAUUGCAUAAUAGUUUAGUGAUACGUGGGUCUGCGUCUGAGUCAGAGAUUUUGCUAAAGAUUAGAAAUAUCGAAGACUUGAUUUUUUUUUUUCUGGAAUGAAAUAAGCUUAGAAGGGGGAACCAUCACAUCUCUCACCCAUAUUUAGGGACGUUGUUCCCCACUUCCAGAUUAUCCCCUAGUAACUGGCAGAAGCUUCCUAUCCCAACCUGAAGAAGGUCAGUGUCCUCUUGUCUGAGGUAUUGGUAAUGGCCUCUCUGAGCUCCUUGUCUUGCUAAGCUCGGCUGAUACUCUCCCGGAUCUGUCACGACCACCUCUCUCCUUUUCUGAGACCCCAGAGGGUCAAGUACAAAGUGUGACCCAUGAGGAGGUGUGGCACACAUCAAAAUAACUGCAUGAUUUUCCCAGUACAUUGCCAUGACCCUGGCAGGUUUGAAUGGGAAUGGCUCUCGAGUGGACAGGAUCAAGGUGGCAGGAAAAUAAAGCUGCAUCACACAAGCUCACCGACACAGUCUUACUUGGCACAGGCGGUAACUUUAAUAUUACUUCCAUGGCUCAUGGAGUGAAUGCUACGAUGGCAGGAAAGGCCAAGUGGAAGCCACUAGAAACUCCUCUAACGAUGACAACAGUGAAGCAACAGCAGGGAUCACAGAGGGACAUCUGAAUUCCUUGGCAGAGUAGGACUAGGGGAAAAUCAAGAUCUAGCUGAGAAAGAACCACAGACAUUUCAAAAGACACUUGAAUUGUGGCUGGAUUCCACCGUGUUCGUCCCAAGACAACUUGAGCCUCCAAAGGGUUCUGCCAAAGGCCCUGAAAAUUAAACCAAUGAAACUGCCCCGUGGCCAGCCUUGGGUUGGUCCUGGGUCUGUUGCAGAGCUGUGAACUGGUUAAAUGGCAAAGCUGGGGACAGAGACUGGAGAUUGCCACCACACAGUUCCUCCACUCGGUGCUCUUUGCCACGAGAGGAUUUCCCAGUGAAAACCACUCCUGGAAAUUACACUGUAAGGAGAACUGCAUGCAGGCCCAGACAGAAAAUACUCCUUUCUCUGCAAAAAUAAAAUACACGCACACGCACGCGCACACACACACACACACGCACGCACACGCACCCUACAGAUAUUUGAAAUUGUACUCCCAGACCCAAAGGAGGAAGUUUAAGCUACUUGAACUCUGUGAAUUGGGAAAAAAUAGUCCAAGGUUGCACCGUGGAGACAGGACUUCUCCACUUCUCCCGGAACACCUAGAGCAAAUCAAGACCACUCCCCAGCGGGCCUGGAAACCAGGGUGUGCACUCCAGGUGUCCGUGCCCCUAGGACACUUUCCAGAGCCCUCUUCCUGUGGCCCCAGCCUCCUCAACCGACUUGGAAUGGCGACUGGCUCCCUCUGGUGCUCCGGGUGAGGCCUCCCUCAGAGCCCUCGAUCGCUGAGUUCCAGAAGGGAAGGCCCACUCACCCUUCCAGAGGAGGCCCCUGGGAAAAACAAUUCUGUCCCCCACCUCCUCGUUCAUAGUGUUUUCUUGAGCUUUUCAUUUUUUUUUAGUAGGUGCGUCAAAGCCUAAAGUGGCCCGUGGGCACCUCCUGCCUCCUGCCCAUGAGCCCCUCAAAUGACUACUGUCAUCCUGAGGGAUGUGUUGUGUAAAAUCUAUCUAUGCUCUAACACAAAUAGAUUUCCAAUGGUAACACUGGAUACAGAUUGCUCUGACCGUCGCUUUUAUGUUAAAAUAUGUGUUUGUACAUAACGACCCUUCUCGUUUUCUUCGAAAUAUGCAUAGCACUCCACUGUGGAGUUAGGCCAUAAUUUAUCCAAAUAAAUAAUUCUGAAUAAUUAGGUUUUUCCCAAUCUUGUUAUUACAAUUGAUGCCACAGAGAAUAAACUUCAGCACAAUA